rnacentral:rRNA from 1 species
GAUCAUGGCUCAGGAUGAACGCUAGCUACAGGCUUAACACAUGCAAGUCGAGGGGCAGCAUCAUCAAAGCUUGCUUUGAUGGAUGGCGACCGGCGCACGGGUGAGUAACACGUAUCCAACCUGCCGACAACACUGGGAUAGCCUUUCGAAAGAAAGAUUAAUACCGGGUGGCAUAGUUUUCCCGCAUGGGAUAAUUAUUAAAGAAUUUCGGUUGUCGAUGGGGAUGCGUUCCAUUAGG